rnacentral:ncRNA from 6 species
CUUGACCUCGGAUCAGGUAGGGAUACCC